AAAUACAAAAUUGCCUUCAAGCUCAUUCCUUCCUCCAGAACUAUUUAUUUUGCUGAAAAAAUACAAAAAAAUUAAACAAUGUUUAGAAUCAUUCUUCCAACAUCCAUGGAUAGCAUUCAUACAGUAUCAGAAAUUUGAACCUAAUAGUUCAAACUCAAUAAAUAAUAUUCGUACAAAACAACUCCAAAAUAACAGUCAACAAUUCAAUUCAUCGUUCCAAAUACCAACUUUGUAGUCAUAUUCCCCCUUCCACGAACUCAUUGUUGUAACUCUCUAUUGAUUGCUUCUAACAACUUGAAAACGAAAUAGAGGCGAUAAUCGUUGAUGCUCAACCUAUAGAAGACCUACAGAUCUCUAGCAUUCUCGUCACGAAAGAGAAAGACACCGACAUCAAUAGCCUGCAAAUGAAUAUUUGAAUGUGAUUUUCACCAACACCUGAAAAAUAACAUCAGACUAGGCUUGACAUUGAUAACAUGGAUACUUAUCUGGUGAUGAGCUAAUCCAGAUAGAUUAAUAAGAUCGUUGAUAAUUGAUCGCCUCAUCUGUUUAGUACUAAUGUCCUCCCCGCACAUUUUGUUAAUCAUUAGUUCUAUUGCCUUAUCCAAUGGAAAGAUGCACAAAUCUGGAAGCAACACAUCUAGAAUCAAUUAAACUCGGGACAUACCUUCAAACUCGCAGAAUUUCUGUUUACUUCGACCGCAGAUGAAUCUGCCGCUGUGUAAUCCCACUCAGAGACAAGAAUCGGAAACUCCCGAUUGAAAGCUACGAGACGCUGCCGCGAAAUCCCACUCAGAGACUAGAAACAGGGAAGCAUCGAUUGACAGCUGCAAAAUCGUCGUCGUGGGAAGCAGAAUCCCCAAUCGAAAGCGCGAGACGUCCCCGUGAAACCCCUUUAGAGACCAGAAAUGG
rnacentral:lncRNA from 1 species